UGUAGAGAUUGAGAGAGUAGAGAUUUAGAGAGUAGAGAUUAGAGAGAGUGUAGAGAUUAUGAGAGAGAGAGAUCAAGGCAAUUAAUGCCAAUAUUCACUAAGAUUGCCAAAUCUUCUAUAAGAUUAGCAAAAUCCUCUCAAAUCUUUCAAGAUAAUUCUCUCUCUCACUCCACCCCAAAUUUUCGAUCACCACCUUCUCCCUCCCUUCAUCUCUCUACUUUCCACCAUUGACAACCAUUAACAAGACCUUCGGAGCUUCACAAAAUCACACCAAAAACACAAAUCACCCUCUAAAUCUUACACUAAACACUUCCACCUCCUUGAAUCCAAGAAGAUCUUUGGAGUUUGAUCUUCAAAGUUAGAGAGAGAAAGUUUGGUUUUGGGUGUAAGUUUGGACACGAGCAGAGCAAGGAAGUAAGUAACUCCGCUUUGACGGGAGUGUUUGAGUAAGGUCUUCAGGCUAAGCGAGGAGCGAGAUUGGUCUGGUGCUAGUGGGGGAAACGUUUCAAUCGAUGUAAUUAUGUUUUCGUAUUGCCUUCAUGUUAAUAGAGUCUUGAGGAUUGAGAUACUUUGUUUUCUUUUGAAAUCAAGCAAUUUACUCACGGUUAUGUGUCUUCAUACAUGUAAUCGAUUCGCCUUUUGCUGCGAUACUCUGCAUUUUAUGAUUCCUUAUGAAAAAUGAGCUAUACCCGUUUUGUUUU